rnacentral:rRNA from 1 species
GGUGAACGCUGGCGGCGUGCCUAAUACAUGCAAGUCGAGCGAAUGGAUUAAGAGCUUGCUCUUAUGAAGUUAGCGGCGGACGGGUGAGUAACACGCGGGUAACCUGCCCAUAAGACUGGGAUAACUCCGGGAAACCGGGGCUAAUACCGGAUAACAUUUUGAACCGCAUGGUUCGAAAUUGAAAGGCGGCUUCGGCUGUCACUUAUGGAUGGACCCGCGUCGCAUUAGCUAGUUGGUGAGGUAACGGCUCACCAAGGCAACGAUGCGUAGCCGACCUGAGAGGGUGAUCGGCCACACUGGGACUGAGACACGGCCCAGACUCCUACGGGAGGCAGCAGUAGGGAAUCUUCCGCAAUGGACGAAAGUCUGACGGAGCAACGCCGCGUGAGUGAUGAAGGCUUUCGGGUCGUAAAACUCUGUUGUUAGGGAAGAACAAGUGCUAGUUGAAUAAGCUGGCACCUUGACGGUACCUAACCAGAAAGCCACUGCUAACUACGUGCCAGCCGCCGCGGUAA